CCGCCCGCGGGGACGCGGUGCGGCCGCGACGCCGAGCCAUUUGCAUUCCCCGGCAGUCAUUUUAUACGCGGAGAAAACGUGGCUACAAAUGACAGUAUGGUUAGUGUUCUGUGUUGGACAACUCUGGCGAGGAGACCACAAACCUGAGGAACCUCCUGGCUCUAGCCCUGCCAUCUCAUCUAGCUCUCUAGAUGGUUUGGAAUAGAGGCAAGGAAGGGCUUUGGAUCUUAGGCAUCAAAUGCCCAGGAAAAUAAUUAGUAAGUAGUUGACUUUAUAAAAAAAAUCCUGAGCAGAGGCGGAGGUUUACAUGGUAACAUUUUCUAUUCCUAUUCCCAUUCCCUUUGUUCGCACUUUCCCCCAGCCUUGCCACAAUUCCACGGGCGGGCCAACCGUCCGUGUGUGAAGUUGGACCUUUAGGAGUGUUUUGUGUCUUUUAGGAGUUAUUUGUUGCACACUAAACUUGCUGACAUGUCAUUUAGAAAAGUGAGUACUGUGUAUGCACUGUAACAACUAUUUCAUAAGUAUUUUUGGUGUACAUUGGGCCUCAGCACUCACGAGCUGAGGAGUAAGAGGUCCCGGAGUAUGCAUUGACACGAUGCGCUGCAAAUGAUCCAGGCACGGGGGAGUCCCUGAGUGUGCAUUGAUUCCAUGCGUGGCCAUGGCUCCUACAGGGCUGUUAUGGUGCAGUUUGCCAAUGAUCCAUGAGGUAAAGACUCCCCGAAUACACAUUGACACGAUAGACUGGAGUUGUUUGGGUCUGUCUUGGCAAUGAUCCGAGGAUAAUGGCGUUAUCUUGAGAUCGGAGCGCUUAUGGUCCUAAUGGCACAACCAGAACUGCCCCAGAUAUGUCAUACUGUGACUCUCAGUGCAGGGCACAGUGGUCUUUGACCUCCUGCAUCAUGAUACUGUGGUGCUGCCAAUGUCUGUUGAUGUUGUGUCUGAUGCAAUUGAAAUAUUUUUUUUCUCCCCAUUUAAACAUUUGUAAAAUACUACCUGGAUUGGAGGGGUCUGUGUUUUGGUAGUUUCACUUAGGUAAUCAUAGGCUCAAGACAUAGGUGAGGUCAAAUUUAAAGUGAAAAAAGUGGUUUGGGGAACAUAUGCUUGGAAACAUGCAUUCGAGGGAGAACAAAUACAAACUAAGAAAACCUUGUGGCUGAAACUAGAACAGUUAAUGUAAAAAGGUAGUAAUAGGAUGGGCAAUACUUCUAAAAGUCAUAAAAGUAAUAUAUUUAAUAGUAAUAGAAUUCAAACACUGCAGAACUGUAGAAAUAAAGGAUAUAAUUCUAUCUCCUUUUCAUAGCUCACUUAUAUCCUAUCCAUUGUUACAACCACUAUUAAUAUUUUGUAUAGUCUUAUAGAAAAAUUUUUUUGUGGUAGUGGGAUUAACCUCAGGGCUUUCACACUGAAUUAAGUCCCCAGCCCUAUUAAAAUUUUUGUUAUUUUGAGACAGAGUCUCCUUAAGUUGCUAAAUUGCUAAGGGCGGGCUUGAACUUUUUGUUCCUUCUGUCUCGGUCCCCCAAAGUUCUGGAAUUACAGGCGUGUGCCACCAUGCCUGGAUUCCUCUAGUGAUUUUUGUACAUAUACACAUGUAUGUCUGUACUCUUUAUUUAUUUACACAAGUAGAUUGAUGGCAAUGUUACUUUUCAAUGUCUUGUACUGCCUCUCCCUGACUCUCUUUUUUUCUGGUACGGGAAUCAAACUCAGGACCUCAUGCUUGCCAGGCAGGUACUGUGCCACUGAACUAAAUCGCUGGCCUCUUGCCUUGUACUGUCUCCUAAUGGUAAACUGACUAUCUCUCCUCAGGGACACCUGCAAUGGUAACAACUGCAUGGAAUUCUGGGGUAUGGAUGUAACAAUUUUUACGUGCAUGUUAUUUCAACUAUCCCUGCAAUGAAUAUUGUCACACCUUUUCAUUUAUAAAUUUGCACAAGUUUGCUCAUAGGGUAAGUUUUUAGCAGUAGACACACUGGGACAAAGAGACAGACAUUUAAAUAUUGAUACACAUUGCCAAGUUAACCAUCAUACACUCCAACUCAAAAUUGGGUGCCUAUAUUUGCACUCAACGCCAACGUGGCGUUUGAUCACAGAGGGUGCUUCUGAUGCGUGAGAGUGAAUUUUCCCAGUGAAGUGCUCUGCUUAGCUUUAUGGAGAGAGUUCAGCACUGAGGCUUUGAUAAAUGCAUUGAAGUAUAGAAGUCAGACUACAAAGUAGGAAGUCCUGCUAGUCAAGAUAAAAAAUGAUUAAGCUGCAAAUCACACUGAGAUCAGUUGAAUUUUGGUAAUAACCUAUCAACAUGGGAAAAUUGAUAUUAGAUCACAUUAAUUCAUCAUUCAGCAGAUAUUUGCUGAGAAGUUAUCAUUCUUUCUCUUCAUAUUGUCAACAACCAUUUGCUGCCCUUUGAGUUCUGAAAAUACUAGAAUUUUAUUCUCACUGGGCAGGCUUUGCUCUAUAGCAACAAAAUAUCAUGUUUAGUUCAGGCAGGAGUCCGGUUGGAGUACUCUGCUGUGGAUUCCAUGUACAGAAUGGUCUCAUAGGAAGGGAUUUGGAAAUUACGCAUCUCAACAUAUGAGACGGAUGGUGAACUCCAUGAACUUUCAGCCAAAUUCCUCUGACUUCUUGGUUUCCUUUGUAAAAUUUAAGACUGAAAACAGUAACUCCUAGGGCUGGCAAGACAAUUCUUUUCAAUAAUGAAAGAAUUUCGCCAACUUAUUUCCCAUGUGAGUCCCUGAUCAUGAGAGAUAUUGUGGCACAUGUUUUGUCCUCUGGGUAGUCUUCUUGUGUUUAUUUUGUUUUCUUCUAGAUAACAUCAGAUACAAUUUAGAAAAUUCUGAGUCUAAAAAUUGGGAGAAUUACAUAAAAUUCAUUUGAAAGUCAAUUUGGACUUUCCACAAAAUACCAGUUACCAAGAAGGAUCAAAUUAUUGUCAGAACUGUAAUCUGACAUCAUAAUCUUUUUUCUCCAAAUGUAUUUUAUUUCAAAAAGAAAAAAAAAAUUCAAAGCACAACGAUCAAGGGAUAGCAGUGGUACAUACGUUGCAGAUUGCCAUCCCCAAAUCAGUCACCCAAAGCACAAGACAUCUGCAUUUACUUUCUGAACAGUACCAGCACAAAUCUUCUCUUUAAUGAACUCUGAGAAAUCAGUAGAAGAAUUAUCUUAACUGUAAUAUAUAUAAUAUAAACAGAAUACAUGUUAUAUUAUUUAUAUAAUAUGUAACAUUUAUAUAAUACUCAUAUAUGAUAUAUAUUAUAAAUAGUUUCAGCUCCUCAUACUAGCAAGACAAUAUGAUGUUUACAUAUGCAGGACAUCAGAAUCUUUCAACAAUCAUCUACUCAUAAAGAUUGUUCUUUUGCUGGGGGUUUAGCUCAGCAGCACAAGUGCCAGCCUGGCAAGCGUGAGAUCCUGAGUUCAAUCCCUGGUACUCCUUCUCCCCACCAAAAAGAUUGUUCUUUCAUCAUUGUGAAGAAGAAAGUACCUCAACCAGUAUGAAGUAGAGAUGCUGUAGAAUGUGUCAUUUGUAUUACUAGUACCAAGAACUUACGUAUUUCUACACCAGUGAAGACCCAGAGGGCUAAGAGUAUCCAUUUGAGACACCAGCUCAGAUGAAAGAAAUGCUAUUUAGCUGAGUGUGGGGCUGCAUGCUCACCUUUACAGGAUCAGCACUCAGGAGACUGAGUUCAAGGCCAGCUGGGCUACAUAGUGAGUUCAAACCUGGUCUGACUUUUUCAUUUAGUAUGUUAAUGCCUCUGUAUGAAAACAGAAAUGAUAUAAGCUUAAAUAUGUAGAUGAGAGGAUCUAAUUAUUGUCACUAAAAGAAGAAAAAAGGAAACAAUUAGAAAAAAAUGAUAAAAUUUAAAGCUGUAUGUCCUUUAAAAAUCAAGUAUUGGAAGAUCUCUCAUAAUACAGACUUGUCAUCAAUUAACUUGAAAUUUUAAUUUUCUCAUUUAACAAGACAACUUUAAGUAACAUGCACCUAAUGAACUGUACUAAUGCCUUAACACUUAGAACCUGGAAAUCUCCUAACAUUGGGUAGAAACUGAGGAAGAAAAAGGCCAAUGAAAACUUGCAAAGGUCACUUCAAAUUUGUGGAAAGACCACAUUGUCGUGAUGAAGCAGGAAAAUUUUGAGAAAAAAAUCAAAAAAUUUUUCCAUGUCAGAAAACAUGUGGCAUUUUUUGGUAAAUGAAGUUGGAACUGCACACAGAAUUGAAUUUGUCUAAGAGUUACUCAACUGAGGAAGAGCCAGCCACAAUGCUUCACACCAUGGAGCUGCAGAGAAUUCAGUGUCAUUUCCUGGAAUUAUUUUCCUGGUGCAAAGUGUAAGAGACUGAUAAUAAAAAUCUAGAUAAUAAGUUCUUUUGUCAACAUUUUAGCAUGAGCUCUAAAGGGGUUAACAAAGCAAGGAGACAAAGACAACAGUUCUUCAGUGGAUUUUUUAGCUGUUUUGAGAAGCCCUGGGUACGUGCGACUCUUCUUGGUGCAUUACAGUUGAAAGACAAACUUUUCUGUCCCCAAAUCAACAAUAAAAUGUCCCUGAGCAAUUCUUAAA